rnacentral:ribozyme from 1 species
UUUUUUUUUUUUUUUUUUUUUUUUUUUCGACCUCUUUGCAGACUACGCGCUAUAUCGAGUGCUGGAAACGAGCACUGUGCUCUGAGCAGC